AAAUUUCCCAAUUACGAGGAAAAGGAACCAACAGGGAUUGCCUCAGUAACGGCGAGUGAAGCGGCAAAAGCUCAAAUUUGAAAUCCCCCCGGGGAGUUGUAAUUUGAAGAUUGCGUCUUGGAGGCGACCGUGUCUAUGUUCCUUGGAACAGGACGUCACAGAGGGUGAGAAUCCCGUGCGGCACGGCCCCCGGCUCCUUAUAAGGCGCUCUCGACGAGUCGAGUUGUUUGGGAAUGCAGCUCAAAGUGGGUGGUAAAUUCCAUCUAAAGCUAAAUACAGGCGAGAGACCGAUAGCGAACAAGUACAGUGAUGGAAAGAUGAAAAGCACUUUGAAAAGAGAGUGAAACAGCACGUGAAAUUGUUGAAAGGGAAGGGCAUGCCGUCAGAUUGUCAGUGUGGGUAAGAAGCGGGGUACAAAGACUGUGGAACGUGGCCCUCGGGUGUUAUAGCCGCAGUUCAUGCCCCGUCUCUUUCCGAGGCCUGCUUUGAGGACACCGACGUAAUGACGGUACGCCGCCCGUCUUGAAACACGGACCAAAACGGAG
rnacentral:rRNA from 1 species